GUGCGUUGGUUAGUAGAAAGCUACGCGUCAGAGCUCAGUUCGUUUGCGACGCUCGUGUCGUUCGCGUCUCCCUCUCUCUCUCUUUUUCUCUAGUAACUAUUUGAAAAACGUGUCCAAUGAUUAUUAUUCAGACAGUUGAAGACGUACUUCUAAUGUAAACAAACAAGUAUUUACGUCGAAUGUGUAUAAUUUUAGUGACACGAACGAUCAUUUCGUUUGUUUCGAUAGAUCGAUUCUCGCGGACACCGUGGGAAAUGUUCGAAGGUGAGAAGAAGGAUCGAAGAAGUCAGAACGAAGUGCAGCCGGUGAUCGAGGAUCAACGUAGAUCUAUGUGGAUAGGACGAGAUCGAGGAAGAAGACGAGAAUAUAGAAAAUAGAUAGACGAAUAAAAAGAGAGAAACGGAGCUAACGAAGAGAACGGAGAGAUAUAUAGAUAGACUGAGAGAAAACAUAGGAUAUUUUUUUACCUGUUUCUUUCUUUCCUUCUUCCUUUUUUUUUUCCUCCUUUCGUUUCUUUUUCUUUCUUUUUUUUCUUUUUUUCUUUCUUUUUUUUUUUUUUUUUUUUU